rnacentral:rRNA from 1 species
GAUGAACGCUGGCGGCGUGCUUAACACAUGCAAGUCGAACGGUGAAGGCGGAGCUUGCUCUGCUGGAUCAGUGGCGAACGGGUGAGUAACACGUGAGCAAUCUGCCCCUGACUCUGGGAUAAGCGCUGGAAACGGCGUCUAAUACUGGAUACGAGCUGCGAAGGCAUCUUCAGCAGCUGGAAAGAACUUCGGUCAGGGAUGAGCUCGCGGCCUAUCAGCUUGUUGGUGAGGUAAUGGCUCACCAAGGCGUCGACGGGUAGCCGGCCUGAGAGGGUGACCGGCCACACUGGGACUGAGACACGGCCCAGACUCCUACGGGAGGCAGCAGUGGGGAAUAUUGCACAAUGGGCGGAAGCCUGAUGCAGCAACGCCGCGUGCGGGACGACGGCCUUCGGGUUGUAAACCUCUUUUAGCAGGGAAGAAGCGAAAGUGACGGUACCUGCAGAAAAAGCGCCGGCUAACUACGUG